UACAGAGACUGCAAGCGUUAUUAGGAUUCACUGGGCGUAAAGGGUGCGCAGGCGGCCAAGUGUGUGAGGCGUGAAAGCCUGGAGCUUAACUCCAGAAUUGCACCUCAAACUACAUGGCUAGAGCAUUGGAGAGGGUAGCGGAAUUCACGGUGUAGCAGUGAAAUGCGUAGAUAUCGUGAGGAACACCAGAGGCGAAGGCGGCUACCUGGACAAUUGCUGACGCUCAGGCACGAAAGCGUGGGGAGCAAAAGGG
rnacentral:rRNA from 1 species